rnacentral:rRNA from 1 species
AGAGUUUGAUCCUGGCUCAGAUUGAACGCUGGCGGCAUGCCUUACACAUGCAAGUCGAACGGCAGCACGGGGGCAACCCUGGUGGCGAGUGGCGAACGGGUGAGUAAUACAUCGGAACGUGCCCUGAAGUGGGGGAUAACGUAGCGAAAGUUACGCUAAUACCGCAUAUUCUGUGAGCAGGAGAGCAGGGGAUCGCAAGACCUUGCGCUUUAGGAGCGGCCGAUGUCGGAUUAGCUAGUUGGUGAGGUAAAGGCUCACCAAGGCGACGAUCCGUAGCGGGUCUGAGAGGAUGAUCCGCCACACUGGGACUGAGACACGGCCCAGACUCCUACGGGAGGCAGCAGUGGGGAAUUUUGGACAAUGGGCGAAAGCCUGAUCCAGCCAUGCCGCGUGAGUGAAGAAGGCCUUCGGGUUGUAAAGCUCUUUCGGCGGGGAAGAAAUCGCAUUCUCUAAUACAGAG